AAUAAUUAAGCUACUAGUGUAUUAUCUUUCUUUAUUAGCUGACAUUGAUCUUCACAAGUUCUUCCAAUCAGAUAAGUAAAUAAACCUAUACUAGUAGCUUAAUUAUUUGUAGAAUUCCAUGACACCCACUGCGUCAUAAGCAACAUAGCAAAUGAGUUGAAACCCUGAAAAACCAGCAGCCUUGCCUAGUGCCUUGAAUUCUUUCUCAGUCCUCUGCUUCCCUCCAGGGAACAUAAACAUCAUCACAUCCAAUUGGCAUACAUAUUUAGUAGAGAUGCUUGGAUCCAUUACCUCUGGCAUUAUAUGGCUUACCACAAUCACCUUCCCACCGUUUUGCAAAGCAUCAUAGCAAUUCUUGAGAAUCUUGAUGCAGUGUUCAUCACUCCAGUUAUGAAGAACCUCCUUCAUCAUAAUAGCAUGUGCACUUGGAAUGCCUGAGAACAUAUCUCCUCCAACAUGUUUGACUCCACGACAUGGUGGAGCUUCUUUGACCACAUGAGGCAAGUCGAAAUUAAUGGCAGUAAUAGAAGGGUACUUUGAAAUGACCAUGUUGAUGGCAACUCCAGAACCACCACCGACAUCCACCAAAGAUUCAAGUCCCUGGAAACCGUUGUAGCAAUCAAGAACUUUGCUCAUGAUAUAAGAGGAAAGGGCGUCCAUGGCUUUGUUGAAGCCCUUCACCGAUUCUUGAUCUGAGCUUAUGUAUUUGUACAUAGGUACUCCAUGGGCUUUCUCAAAUGGAUUACCACCUUCAAGAAUUGCAUCCUUUAGGUAAAACCACGCCUCAGUUUGAACUUUGGUAGCAGCUGAGAAUGCAGCCAUGGAUGCUCCAUCUUUAUUCCGAACGAACAACUGACCAGUCGGAGAAAGCCCAUAACGCCUUUCAAUAAGAUUAUCGUCAAGGGUUUGCAGAGAACAAGUGAGCAGCGAGUAGCAAGCGAGGAGUCUGAGCAUGCGAUCUAUCAUGGAGGCUGCAUCUGGGUUCUGAGCGGGAAGCUUAGCAGUGAUCUCAGCUGCAGUGAGAUGAGCAGCAGGACCUGCUUGAGCAAUGAUGUCAAAAAGAUCUAGCUGCUGACAUGUAGCCAGCGCAUGAGAGAAGGCAUCAAUGCUACGAAGAUAUAAAGCACAACUAUAAGCUUGAUCAUCCUGUUGAGAAUUUGGAAAGGAGGUAGGUUUGUUUUGGGUUGAACUCAUUUUUGAUUGAUGAGCUGGGUUUGAUCGUUGAUGAGGCGAUUUUUCUU
rnacentral:misc_RNA from 1 species